rnacentral:misc_RNA from 1 species
GAUGAAGAACGUAGCAAAAUGCGAUAAGUAGUGUGAAUUGCAGAAUUCAGUGAAUCAUCGAAUCUUUGAACGCACAUUGCGCCCGCCAGUAUUCUGGCGGGCAUGCCUGUUCGAGCGUCAUUACAACCCUCAGGCCCCCGGGCCUGGCGUUGGGGAUCGGCGGAGCCCCCCGUGGGCACACGCCGUCCCCCAAAUGCAGUGGCGGUCCCGCCGCAGCUUCCAUCGCGUAGUAGCUAACACCUCGCGACUGGAGAGCGGCGCGGCCACGCCGUAAAACACCCAACUCUUCUGAAGUUGACCUCGAAUCAGGUAGGAAUACCCGCUGAACUUAAGCAUAUCAAUAAGCGGAGGA